CCUACGGGGGGCUGCAGUGGGGAAUAUUGCGCAAUGGGCGGAAGCCUGACGCAGCGACGCCGCGUGGGGGAUGACGGCCUUCGGGUUGUAAACCUCUUUCGCCAGGGACGCGGUACCUGGAUAAGAAGCACCGGCCAACUACGUGCCAGCAGCCGCGGUAACACGUAGGGUGCGAGCGUUGUCCGGAAUUAUUGGGCGUAAAGAGCUCGUAGGCGGUGUGUCGCGUCGGCCGUGAAAACUUACAGCUUAACUGUGAGCGUGCGGUCGAUACGGGCAUACUUGAGUUCGGCAGGGGAGACUGGAAUUCCUGGUGUAGCGGUGAAAUGCGCAGAUAUCAGGAGGAACACCGGUGCGAGGCGGGUCUCUGGGCCGAACUGACGCUGAGGAGCGAAAGCGUGGGGAGCGAACAGGAUUAGAUACCCUUGUAGUC
rnacentral:rRNA from 1 species